rnacentral:rRNA from 1 species
CCCUUAGAUGUCCUGGGCUGCACGCGCGCUACACUGAUGUGUCCAGUAAGCACCUAACCUCUUCCGAAAGGAACGGGUAACCUUUGCAAAGCACAUCGUGAUGGGGAUAGAUUAUUGCAAUUAUUAAUCUUCAACGAGGAAUGCCUAGUAAGCGUGAUUCAUCAAAUCGCGUUGAUUACGUCCCUGCCCUUUGUACACACCGCCCGUCGCUCCUACCGAUUGAAUGUGUUGGUGAGGAGCUCGGAUUGGCAGCAGUUGGUGGUUCGCCACCGGCUAUUGCUGAGAAGUCCUCCAAACCGCCCCAUUUAGAGGAAGGAGAAGUCGUAACA